rnacentral:tRNA from 1 species
GGAACUGUAGCUCAGUGGCAGAGAGCACCAGCAUCGAAGGCAGGAGGCCCUGGGUUCGAUUCCCAGCGGUUUCA